ensembl:snRNA U1 U1 spliceosomal RNA
AUACUUACCUGGCAGGCGAAAUACCACUAUCAUGAAGGUGAUUUUCCCAGGGUGAGGCUUAUCCAUUGCACUCCUGAUGUGCUGACCCCUGCGAUUUCCCCAAAGGUGGGAAACUCGACUGCAUAAUUUGUGGUAGCGGGGGAUCUGCAUUCGCGUGGUUUCCCC